rnacentral:rRNA from 1 species
UAUAAUUUAAAGUAGGGCCUGCCCACUGAAUAAUUAAAGGGCCGCAGUAUUUUGACUGUGCAAAGGUAGCAUAAUCAUUAGUUUUUUAAUUGAAAGCUUGUAUGAAUGGUUUGAUGAGAAAAAAUCUUUCUAUAUUUUAAUUUUAUGAAUUUUAUUUUUAAGUUAAAAAGCUUAGAUUUUUAUAAUAGACGAGAAGACCCUAUAGAGUUUAAUUUUUUAAUUAAUAUAAAUUUUUAGAAUUUGAUAAUUUUUAUUUAUUUAAAAAAUUUAAUUGGGGUGAUUAAAAAAUUAAAUGAACUUUUUUUAAAUUAAAACAUUAAUUUAUG